rnacentral:misc_RNA from 1 species
GAUGAAGAACGUAGCGAAAUGGGAUAAGUAAUGUGAAUUGCAGAAUUCAGUGAAUCAUCGAAUCUUUGAACGCACAUUGCGCCCCCUGGUAUUCCGGGGGGCAUGCCUGUCCGAGCGUCAUUACAACCCUCAAGCUCAGCUUGGUAUUGGGCCCCGCCGACCCGGCGGGCCCUAAAGUCAGUGGCGGUGCCGUCCGGCUCCGAGCGUAGUAAUUCUUCUCGCUCUGGAGGUCCGGUCGUGUGCUCGCCAGCAACCCCCAAUUUUUUUCAGGUUGACCUCGGAUCAGGUAGGGAUACCCGCUGAACUUAAGCAUAUCAAUAAGCGGAGGA